AUAUAAUUACCAAUAGAUGGGGGCUAUCAGAGAACAGCUAUAAUCGAAGCUGACACAAAGAUUAUUUGUUUCAGAAAUCUUACAUCAGUGUGGCACUCUCUCCAAUUAUAGAAAGCUACAUUUAAAGAUAUUUUCAUGAACUAUAGAUGAUGUGGAAUAUGUUUCUGAGAACUAUAAUCAACUCAAUGAUAAGCAGAUUUUAAAAUAUCUAACAUCAAAUUGGUAUAUACUUACAUAUAGUUGCCAUAAGAAAAAGAAAAAUAUUGGUAAUAGGUUAACUACUAAGUAGAACGACAGACACUUGAAGUGGAGGGGAUUGGCAUUUUUUUGAAAAGAAAGCUAGGGAUCCAAAUACAAUAUCAGGAAAGAAAAAAUGAGUUAAAAGUGUAUAAGUAAGUGGAAGGUUCUUCCAUAAAGUUGACAGCAUUGAACUAAUCUACUAGAGAAUAAUUUGCUUUUAUGUCUUUAUGAUUUACAUCCAAAAGACUAAGAAUCUUUUCAAUCUCAACAAUGAUCUAGUCAAAAUGGAGGGUGUGUACCCAGAACUUUAGACUGGAGCUCACUUCAUAAUAGAAGAAUGUGCCAGCAGAUGCCUUGGAGCCUCCUGAGGUGACCCCCUCGAGUGACUACUAGUUUGUUGAGCAAGUUCUCUGAGAAUCCUGUGUCUAAUGGGCCAUCGCUUUGUGGUGAAGAUUUCAGGAAUGACAGAACUAUUCCACUAGGAUAGCUCUAAGAGAAUCCGUUUCAACACAGAAAACUGUGUUGUGUUUAAGGGCUAUACGCAGGCUGCGGUGAAGGAGAAGACCUUUCCUCUCGCCAGCUCCGAGGAGCCCUCAGCAUGUGUCCCAUAAUGCCUCCACAUGACGGGACGCUCGGUAAACAGUGAAAGAGACUUGCUGAGUUUAAUUAUGUAUGUGAUACCGAAUGCUGGUAUAAAUGCAUGAACACACGGUUUUAAUUGAAUAUAUUUAUCUCUCGGAAGGAAUUUACAGAAUUCUAUUAGAUCAUCUUGAUAUUUGCCUUUUAGCUUGUCUUUAAAUUGUAGAUUAAUGACUUCCAGUUGAAGGUUAGGUGGAAACUCUUCAAUUGCAAAGUAAAAUGCAUUUUGAAAAAUGCGAAUUUCCCUUGCCCUCCUCGAGGCUUGAAAAGUGCUGUGGGACUAUAGUUUGAGCUCUGAAAAUAUAUCUGCUACAAAUUUCUGUGAAAAUGGGAGAUCUCACUUCUUGAUUUAACUUUGUAGCGAGAGUGGCUACAGCAGCUUGACAUUACUUGUGAUUCAAACAACAUCAGCGUUCUCAAAAUUACUUUGUAGCAGAGUGAGUGUAAUACAUGGACGCUGUUUGCUUGCAAUUUUAGAUUGAAUUUAUUAAGAAAGAUUAUCAAAUCUGCAGCAAAUAUGUAUUUCUGAAGCCAACUUGACAUAAAUCACAGUGGCUGAAGGUUAAACUUGGCCAUGAGGCUGUACAUUUCAGCCCUGUUCUAAAGGCUACCAAAGGCCAUGGUUUGCAUUGUUCCACUAUAAAUAUUCAUUGUUUUUUAUUUGUCUUGAGCAAGAUGUAGAGAACCCUUAUAGUGGCCAUCCUUUCAUGAAUUUCUUGAACAAUCAUUUGCUGAGGGCUCACCAUGUUAUUUGAAGUCUACUAGGUGCCAGGGAACUAAAAACAGCCGCAUUGGAGACACGGGAGCCACAUUCCCAUAUAAUACAGUACAUGUGGAAAAGAAAUAUGCAAAUGUACUAUAGGAGCAAAGUGAAGAAAGCCAAUUAAUUGUGAUUUAUCCGACUUAUCAGACUGUAUUUGAAUCCGAUGGGAAAGGGGAAGAUAUCAGGUCCUAGUCAUAAAGCAUCUGUAGUAAUUUCCUAAGGAGAGAAGUCAAGAAAGGGAACUCCAGGCAAAGAGACCACGUCGUACACAGAGGGCUGGAGGCGUGAGAAGAUGCCAGAGCCACGAGGGCCAGUGGAAGCCAAGUGGAAGGAGAGGAGAGGGCAGGGAAGACGUGGCUGGAGAGGCCGGAGGUCACUGAGGUGGCCUAGGGAGCCAGAGCUCACAAGCUCCGAUACGCAAACAAAUCACCUGGACAACUGGACAAGUGCGAUGUCCCAUCCAGUUGCUGGGGCUUCCGCUCUGCCCUCCUAACAAGACCCCAGGCGGCGGUGAUACGGCGGCUGGAGGAGGACCACGCGUGAACAGCAAGACUCCCGGCGACGCUAAGGUCUGAGCCCUCCCCCCUCUGCUGUGGAUCCUUUGCUCGGGGAAGUGACACAACCAAACUCUGGCAUUUCAAAGACAAAGCGGUAGCUAGAAGGGGUAUGGACACAUGUAGGAAGAGAAGCUUGUUCAGGAGAAGAAUCCUGAGAGCCCACGGUAAGAUGUGAUAAUGAUGACACACACUGUAAAAACACUCAACAGGAGUUUGCCGACUGGCACUGACAGGAGUGUAAAACUACUGCAAAUUGUUACUCCAGCGGCACCUGCCUGCCAACAUCUGAUCAGCGGCGCCUCUCGUGCACCUUUCACUCUUUCCUCGCUGACGUCGGAGCCCACGGGGCCGCUGGGCUCUGCCUCUGACCCUGCGGCACGGAGUGGGAUCACCCGACUCCCCCCACUUUAAGACAAACAUGCACGAACGCCAUCAUCAUGAAAAUGAACGUCUAGUCUGCAGAUCGGAGGGCUUGUGGGGCACCGUAGGGGCGAGCACUCAUACUCUUCUCUCUCUGUGGCUUCAUUUGCACUGAUUUAUCCAUCUCUCCAUCUCAGCGGUUAUCAACUGCAUCCCCUGUCACUAACCUGAGAAUGCAGAGAAGCUUUCCCUAUUGAAGACAUUCUAAUGGGGCUCUGCGGGUCACCUGACAAAAGCUGGCAGAAGUGAUAGAUGCUGUGUUCUUCCUUCUGUGGAGUUGGAUGCUUUCCACCAUCGCUGGGUCAAAUUAGGACUCCUGAGAAUAAUAUCUGGAUCCCCUACAUAGUUCUGAAAUGCCAUGAUCUUCUGAAUGGAUAAGAUCAGCAAGUAUUUCAAAUUUAUGUAGUCAACCUCGGAGAACUAGACUGAACACAUAAAACUUUUCAGAUGACAGAAAACAUGAAUAAGCAGGUAGAAAAUGGGUUUCUUGGCUGACAUAUGGCAAAUGAAGUUUAAACACGUAAGGACAGGAGAGUAAUUCAUAUUGAUUGUAAAACUAAAAGGAAACACAAAUAUAUUCUUCCAGUAUUUCAAAUUUUGUCAUCACAAGUCAUGGGUGCCUUCUUAUUCCCCCGAACCCACCCUCUGCACAACAUGCACAUCCCUUCUGAAGACUAGAUAUUAGUCACUCUAACACCAUUUUGUUUCUUGCAUAGUAGUUACCCUUCAGGUUUUUAAAAUCCAUAAUAUACCCAGGAUUAAGUCUUUCCCACUAGUUGGUAGGAUCUUCUAUUCUCUCAAAAGCUGUUAUGACCAAACUUCUCACAGAAGAGGCACUAAUUAAUUAGGAAAGCAUACCGUGAAAGAGCCAUUCCUGUUUAUUGUCCCAAACAUCACCUUAUGAAAUUAUACACUACAGAAAUAUAUUUUUUAAGUUUUCUCGUUUGGAAGGGAACUUGUUUAGAAACUAGUGUGUCUCUAGGGUUUGAGAAAUUACCUUCUUUGUCUUAGUUCUAACUGAAUAUUAUCUUAAAGUAGAAGUCAGGUCUUAAGACAUAUGCAGUAGAAAGGAGAUGAAUGAGUAAAACAGAUAAAACUGUUACUCAGGUAUUAUAUAAAGAAAGUCCACUUACGCAAUAAGAAGAAAAAUCAUUCACCACAACUUCAACUCAAAAAGUAUACCUUGUAAUUUUUAAAAAAAAUAAAUGUUAUAGAAUUAUAAAUGUUCUUGUAUUAUAACCAGUAUUAUACUGUAUUGACUGUUUCACUUAGACAUCGUUCUAAAGGGUUAAUUGUUAAAUUCACCAAGAAUAUCCUUAUACUUGCACUAUGCCGUGAAUUAAGUUCAGACAAAAAAUAUUUUAGAGAAAGUUUAAUACAUUUU